AGAGUUUGAUCCUGGCUCAGGAUGAACGCUAGCGGCAGGCCUAAUACAUGCAAGUCGGACGGGAUAGAAGAGCUUGCUUUUCUUGAGAGUGGCGCACGGGUGCGUAACACGUAUGUAACCUACCUUUAUCUGGGGGAUAGCCUCUCGAAAGAGAGAUUAACACCGCAUAACAUCACGGCUCGGCAUUGAGAUGUGAUCAAAUAUUUAUAGGAUAAAGAUGGGCAUGCGGGACAUUAGCUAGUUGGCGGGGUAACGGCCCACCAAGGCGACGAUGUCUAGGGGAUCUGAGAGGAUGACCCCCCACACUGGUACUGAGACACGGACCAGACUCCUACGGGAGGCAGCAGUAAGGAAUAUUGGUCAAUGGGCGCAAGCCUGAACCAGCCAUGCCGCGUGCAGGAAGACGGCCCUACGGGUUGUAAACUGCUUUUGUACCGGAAUAAACCUUGAUACGUGUAUCGAGCUGAAUGUACGGUAAGAAUAAGGAUCGGCUAACUCCGUGCCAGCAGCCGCGGUAAUACGGAGGAUCCAAGCGUUAUCCGGAUUUAUUGGGUUUAAAGGGUGCGUAGGUGGCCUAUUAAGUCAGGGGUUCAAGACGGUAGCUCAACUAUCGCAGUGCCUUUGAUACUGAUGGGCUUGAAUACAGUUGAAGUGGGCGGAAUGUGACAAGUAGCGGUGAAAUGCAUANAUAUGUCACAGAACACCGAUUGCGAAGGG
rnacentral:rRNA from 1 species